AUGGAGCUUCUCAAGAAAGAUAAAAGGUUUGAGUGGAACCCACAAUGUGAGCACAGUUUUCAGGAACUGAAAAGACGCCUGACUUCUGUGCCCAUACUCGUGCCACCGGAUUUCACUAAAUACUUUGUUAUCUAUUGCGACGCUUCGCAUCCAGGACUAGGUUGCAUUCUUAUGCAGGAUCAUCAUGUGAUUGCCUAUGCAUCUCGACAGUUGCAUCCACACGAGGAAAAUUAUCCUACACAUGAUCUAGAGCUUGCAGCCGUAGUCUAUGCACUUAAGACUUGGCGACAUUACCUUCUUGGUAACCGUUGCGAAAUCUACACUGACCAUCAGAGUCUCAAGUAUAUCUUCACCCAACCGGAUCUGAAUCUCCGACAAAGACGUUGGUUGGAGUUGAUCUCAGAUUACGACUUAGGAAUCACCUACACCCCAGGCAAAGCCAAUGUCAUGGCUAAAGCUUUAAGUCGUAAAUCCUAUUGCAACAACCUCAUGUUGCAACAAUGUCAACCACCCCUCCAUGAGGAAUUCUGUAAGCUUAACCUUCACAUAGCUCCUCAUGGUUCCCUUUCUACCUUGGUGGCAAAACCUACCCUUACGGAUCAGAUCAUAGAGGCUGAGAAGCAUGAUACGGGAAUAUCCCGGAUCAAGAAAAAUAUCUCCAAGGGAGUUGCCGACUGUUUCUCUAUGGAUGAACGAGGUGUUGUUUACUUUGGAAACCGUUUGGUGGUUCCCAAAUGUCAAUAG
rnacentral:rRNA from 1 species